GCAAGUCGAACGGUAACGCAGCUAGCUUGCUAGUUGCUGACGAGUGGCGAACGGGUGAGUAACGCGUAGGAAUAUACCUUUUUGUGGGGGAUAACUCGGGGAAACUCGAGCUAAUACCGCAUAGUCUCUUCGGAGUAAAGCUGGGGACCUUCGGGCCUGGUGCAAAAAGAUUAGCCUGCGUCCGAUUAGCUAGUUGGUAGGGUAAAGGCCUACCAAGGCGACGAUCGGUAGCUGGUCUGAGAGGACGAUC
rnacentral:rRNA from 1 species